AGGAUUUUAUAUAAUAUUAUUUUGUUCAUGUAAUUAUUAUAAUUUUAUCUGCACACCUUUUUAUUCAUUCAAUUAUUUUCAGUUUGCCCUCAUUGAUUCUUGUCUUGUGAAUCUGCUGCAACUUUGAGAUAAUGUAAAUUGCUGUAGGAUGACUAGAAAAUUAGCAUUUGGGGCUAAUAUAAAGCUAAAAAACCCACGAAGGUACUGGGAAAAUCAAGGUUUUUAAAGGGCAUUUCUGGGAACAACUAAAGUCAAGGUUUUGGAAUUUCUUGUGUUGCUGAUUUUUGGCUAGUGUGAAUAUUUUUUCUGCAGCAGCCACCAUGAGAUGUCAUAUCUUUUUCUGUUGUGCUCUGCUGUUGUAAAAAUAAAUGUGUUGUGUUGAAAUUUAUGACAAAUAUCAAAGGCAGAUUACGUAUUAGAAUUGCCUGCAUAGAAUAAUCAAGGUCCAUAGUUUGGGUUUCAAAAGGGUUGUCUGUAUGUAGUCCCCUUAAUUUUCUCUUUAACUGUCUCAUUGUUCUUCUUCCUUCCGGUUUGCUGCCCUUCAUAAGAAUCUAAACUUAAAGCUUGAUGCUCGUCUUUUGUGUUUUCUCAACUCCAGUGUUGUUUGCAAGAAAUCAGUGGUUCUUGAUUUUUGGAUCUGUUUUACCACUUCUUACCAUUUUCUUUUCCUCUGACAAUGUCUUAUGUAAUCUGGUUUUCCUGCUUGGUGUAAUUUGAUUAUCUUUUCCUCCUUUCCCCCUUCUGUUGAUUCUAAUUCUUUUCCUUGAAAAAAUAAACCAGAUAAUUUCCCCCUGCAAAGAUGCAAAAGUCCACUGACGUUUCUGAGCUUUCUUUUCUCCAUUGGAUCCCUUCUGGAGUAGGCUCUGAUUUUGUCAAUUUGAUUUGUUAAUUUUCUGUUGUGGACAGGUAUGGUUGCAGCGAGGGGAAGAUGGAAUCAUUUGAAUAAUUUUGUGCAUUGAAGAAUGGCCUAAAGCAAUCUGCAAAGUCCUUAUGUGCAACAUAUUUGACUCAUAUCUCAUGAACCGUGUAAUUAGGCAAAUGGUUGUAAUCUUUUGUUCAUACUGCUUGUAUAUGGCC
rnacentral:misc_RNA from 1 species